UUGCCCUGUGGUGUAAUUGGCUAACACGUCUGACUCUGGAUCAGAAAAGUCCAGGUUCGAGUCCUGGCAGGGCAGU
rnacentral:tRNA from 1 species